AAGGACACCACGAUUGGAACAAGAUUAAAGGGCAAGAAACAAAAAACAGAACAUUGAUUUACAUUGAAUGAGACUGCGAGGCCAGAAAGGGCUAUUGCAUUUGAUAAUGUGCACAAAAGCAAUAGGCUCCAACUUCUGUUAAGCCUUACUCUCGAGACAGUUUGAAUGUGGCUACCAGGCCAAUGUGGCAGUGCACUUUUUUGGAAAGGUCCGUUGUACAGUAUGGUGCACUGUUAAAGGGAACACCUAGCAACUAAUAAGGCCAUAACUGGAACGUUUCUUGACUUUUACCCGAAAGAAGUGGCCGAUGGAAUCAAUUCGACAUGUAUACAUAAAAAAUCUGUCUGAAUAUAUGUUGGCAACAAUUGAUGGCAGAAUACUAACUGUGUGUUCCCUUUAAUAGUGGACAAUACUGUACAUCUAUCUGUAAGUCAGCAUCUGUACCUGUUUUUGGUUUUCUGAGCCUAAAGUUGGUUUUAUGUGAUAGUAGAAUGUGAGAAAAAUCAUUUUUUUUUUUUUAGCUUUUGUAGCUGUAAAGUUGCCUCUGUUACACUGGGUGCGCAAGGUUUUGAUGACACAUAAUGACGACCUCCGGAACAACAGCAAUAUUUCAGACAAAGUUCAAUAUCUCCAUUCAAAAUAUUUUACAGCGUUUCUUUUGCUGUUUUUUUUUCUUUUUCCUUUCUUUAUUUCUUUUUUUUUUUUUUGAGGCUGCUAAAAAACCAUCUUCAGCCUCAAUUACUGAACUAAGUUUCGAUAAUGGCUACAUACUUGGUUCAGAUAUAGCAGCCUGUAACAGGUUUUUAUCAUUAUGUGGCUGUUAGGCUUUCUCUUAGUGAUGUCUGCCAUACACAGCAGUGUACAGCUUUUGAUAAUCAAAACUAGUACACUACGCUGAGAGUGACGUGGCCGCAGAAGUUCAGAACCAGACAUUCUUGGGUUGCACAGGUGCUAAGGGAUUAAGCAAAUUCACUAAUUAAGAGUGGCACAUAUUGUCAUCGUGCGCAGAAAGCUUGACUGUUGAAUCUGGCACCCCAAGCUGCUCGGCAAUGGGCAUAAUCAGCUUUUCAGGGUUCACAGUCAUCGUGGCCUCCCCCGUUGGAGAAACUCAGCCGUCUGAAUAGCGUCUGACCAGUGGCAGCGCUUAUUUGUCUAUGUCAGAGAUGAUAAUUGACCACAAACUCUCAUCUCACCCUAAAAACAAAGGGGUUUUGCGACUAUCAAGAAUUCUGGUGGUGAUCUAUGUAGCUGUGGUCACCAUGUAAGGCAAUGUGCGGCUUCAUCUCCUUUGCGAGAGUGUAAGGAAUGUAUGUGCUAGAUAGGUGACGAAGGGGUUGGUGUGGUCGGAGUUAAGCACCUAGACAGAUAGAACAAGAAUGUCAGUCUAUGGUGGGCCCUCAAAUACCUCGCGCACCUGGUAUUGCAGAAGGGGCACUGUUGUGAAUAUUCUUACUUACACAGUAACUGCUGCAGUGACUGCAACUUGCUGUGACCUAUUAUUCGUUGUGUCUGUAUUUAUUUUGUAGCUCAUUUCAAUGUGUGUACUGCUACCGGCUUUGACUUGACUUUACUAGUUCUUAUUUUCUUUGAGCUUCCAUCAAUUGUAUCUUGCAUCUGUGCCUUUAA
rnacentral:lncRNA from 1 species